UACGGGGGGGGCAAGCGUUGUUCGGAAUUACUGGGCGUAAAGGGUUCGUAGGUGGCUCGCUAAGUCAGACGUGAAAUCCCUCAGCUUAACUGGGGAACUGCGUCUGAUACUGGAUGGCUUGAGUUUGGGAGAGGGACGCGGAAUUCCAGGUGUAGCGGUGAAAUGCGUAGAUAUCUGGAGGAACACCGGUGGCGAAGGCGGCGUCCUGGACCAACACUGACACUGAGGAGCGAAAGCCAGGGGAGCAAACGGG
rnacentral:rRNA from 1 species